rnacentral:rRNA from 1 species
CCAGACUCCUACGGGAGGCAGCAGUGGGGAAUAUUGCACAAUGGGGGGAACCCUGAUGCAGCGACGCCGCGUGGGCGAGGAAGUAUUUCGGUAUGUAAAGCCCUAUCGGCAGGGAAGAAGAAAUGACGGUACCUGAAUAAGAAGCACCGGCUAAAUACGUGCCAGCAGCCGCGGUAAUACGUAUGGUGCAAGCGUUAUCCGGAUUUACUGGGCGUAAAGGGAGCGCAGGCGGCGCGCCAAGUCUGAUGUGAAACCCCGGGGCUCAACCCCGGGCAUGCAUUGGAAACUGGCGGGCUGGAGUGCCGGAGAGGUAAGCGGAAUUCCUAGUGUAGCGGUGAAAUGCGUAGAUAUUAGGAGGAACACCAGUGGCGAAGGCGGCUUACUGGACGGCAACUGACGCUGAGGCUCGAAAGCGUGGGGAGCAAACAGGAUUAGAUACCCCAGUA